rnacentral:misc_RNA from 1 species
GUAGGUGAACCUGCGGAAGGAUCAUUAUCAAAUCCUGACCGUCGACGCUCGGAAGGCGAAGAUGGUAAAACACCGUGCACCGGCGACCGGAGACGGAGAGACGGAACGAUGGGGGUGUGCGGCCGGCCCUGAAUGGGGUGGCGCACUUGAAUCGGCGGGAAUCCGUUGCCGCCCGCCGGGCCCCGGUCGGAGCUCCUCCGUCUUUG